CGGGCCUUCCUGUCCUUAGAAGGGCCAUGUGGCCUGGGGGAAGUGCUCUGGAGCCAGGCAGGCCUGGCUCUGGCGCCUUGACUCCUCCUGACCCCCCAGCUGUAAGACCCUGAAUUAGUCACUUUACCUCUCGGGCCCCACCUGUCAAAUGGGCACAGGGGUCUCUACCUCUCAGAGUCAUUAUGAAGGGUUUCUGAGACCACCGGCCAAGGGGUCAAGGGUCGUCCACAGCGCCUGGCUCCCAGCAGAGACGCCUCCCUGCUCUGCCCGGUGAACGCAGCAAGCCUGCCACCCCAGGAGGAGCCAGAGCCUCGCACGGGCCCCUAGGAACCCAGUGGCCUGAGCGUGCCGUGCCUGCUGGAGGAGUGGGCCCUGACCCCGCCAGGCAGAGCCUCGGGUGCCCACCUCACCCAGCAGCGUGCCCCAAGCCCAGGGCACCACUGUCACCGAGAACACUGCCCUCCUGGCAAAUCACGUUCGUGAAGGGGCACUCGGGGCGCUGGAAACCUCCCCCAACUCCUGCAAAUCACGGAGGACCUGUCACUUAGGCCAUGGACCGCCCAGGAAGGGAAGAACCCCGAGGAUGGAGACCAGAGAUGGAAGGCUCACAGGCCACCUGGUUCAGGUGGCUGGACAGCAUCUGCGGCUCAGCUCGGGCCUGGCUCACGGGUCCAGAGUCCAGGCUCGGCCUCUUCCCCCUCCUUUCUGGAAGGCGCAGCUUCCCUGGCUUGACCCUGCUGAGCUGACAGGACUUUCUGGGCCGUGAUGGUCCCAGAAGGACGGUGAGGAGUGCUGCUGCCCAACAGGGAGGGGCCGGGCGGGGGAGGUGACAAGUCCUAACGAGAAGCAGAGGGAGCUGGCGGCCCGUCCUGGCGCAGUCCCCACGUCCCAGAAUGCUGUGGUUCCCAGGCUGGGGCGGAGGGGGCUGCGUCAGUAUCCGCUUUGCUCCCUGGAGACAAGCCUGGGCCUCCCCAGGUGGAGCCUCAAGAGGGCCCGCGUGCCUCCAGUGCCUGGGCCCAACAAGGGCCCCCGGCUCUGUGGCAGACAGUCUGACAGCAAAUUUGAGGACCUACUAUGUGCUACAAAGUGCUCAUCAAACCACAUCUCGCAUUGCUUUAACAUGCAAAUUAGCUCUCUCCUCCCCAUUUCACAGAUGUGGAAACUGAGGCCCAAACCAAGCCCCUGACCGUGGUUUACACACUGUGAAGGCAGCCCUGUGAUUUUGAUCUUGUAACCCGUGCUCACAGCCAAGGCCCUCCUGUUCCACCCAAGGUAGACAGGACGAGGGGACAGCGUCUGCUUCCCUUGGGGCUCACCCGCAGCCUCUGGGGCCUCUGGGGCCGUGUGUGCCCCCCACUCUACCUCAAGUUGGGAAGAGAUGCACACAGUCAGUGCUCGCUAGCUGAGGGGGCCACGGAAACCUGGGAGGGGCUGACGCAGGGGCGGCCAGGGCCAGGGUGUCUGGGAAGAGCCCCCCGCUCCACUCGUGGAUGGGAGGGCGCAGGGGCCCCAUGCCGGGGACAGUGGUGCUGGAGGCUCGCCCACCACCGGCCCCCUGCCCGCCAGGCCCUCUGCUCUGUGCUCUGCAGCCGGUCCUCACAGCACCCGCGGAACAGCCCUAAGAGCUGUGACGACGAGAUUCACCCCCUGACGGCGUGAUGCCCCAGCGGCGCCCUUCUAGAGGGAUCUGAGGAGAAACAAGGCUGCGACUCGCUCCUGAGGUGACUCUGGGACCUUGUCGUCCAGCUCCGAAGACCAGAGGUGAAACCACGACUCGCUUGUCCCUCUGGGAAGGACACAGGAGUGAGGGCCAAAGGAGGCCGCUCGACAACUGUCUUGAUUUCUGCAUGGGUGACUCAUGGGGGAAAGGUCACGUAGAAGGAAUCAUGGUGGCUUCGGACUCGACGAUGGCUGUGGGAGCCACUGGAAGACGAUGGAACAAUUCCUGCAAAAGUGGCCUCUGCUUAGCUUUUUCUAUAGGAAAAUGAUUUCCAAACUGGAAUUCUAUACUCGGUGUGACAGACUGCAUGUUUGUGCCCCUAAAUUCACGUGUUGAAACCUAACCCCUGAUGUGACAGUGUUAGGAGGUGAGGCCUUCGGGAGGUGAGUAGGUCAUGAGGGGGGAGUCCCCAUGAUGGGAUCAGUGCCCUUAUAAAGAGGCCCCAGGGAGCUCCCUUGUCCGUUCCCUGUGUGAGAUGGUGAGAAGACACCCUCCGUGAACCAGGAAGCCAGUCUCACCACACACGGAAGGUGCCCGCACCUCGGUCCUGGAUUUCAGCCUCCAGGCCCGUGAGAAGGUGGGGGCUGUGGAAAGCGGGUGUGGGUGGGGCAGGCGAUGAGGAAAGCGAACACUGCUCCUCCCUAACGGAAGUCAGGAGAUACUGACUAAGCUGGAAAAGCAAGAAACGACAAUACAACAGAAAUACCAAAAGAAUUAGUUAAAAAACAAAAAAGGAAGCAGUUGCCUCUGGGGAAGAAUAAUUGGAGCCGGUGGGUGGCAGGAGACUGCUGUUUUUAUAAAAAGCCUUGGGACUCGUUUAACUCCUUAGGUGACAUUUGCAUCCAGCUCUGAUUUAGAGAGAAACAGAGCUUUCCUGUGAGCCGUGGAGACGGCAGAGCUCAGACAGCAGCCCCAGGUGGGCGCACAUGGAGACCCUGCUUCCUGAGGAUGAGGAGGAGGGGGGUGGAACGAGGCCCCAGGGCCCUGCGUUCCCUGGUGGAGAGGGGAGAUCUCGGAGGCCGCCAGGUCAGUGUGGGGCUCCCUGCUCUGUGGCCACGUCCACCUGCCCAUCACAGCCGGGAGGAAGACACUCGGCGCCACCGUGCGGGCAGGGCAUCCUCUACGCCCUGGUCUCACCUCCCCUCGGAUCCUAACUGGAGACCCUGGAGGGCAGAGCCGUGGACACAGCCUGGGGACCCGCUGGUGCUCAGCGCUGCGAGCUGGCCCGGCCAGUCCUCACUCUCUGCUGGGAUUCUGUCCUCAGCUUCCGCCACCAGAAGUCAAGCCAACACUGACACCAUUUCCCCAUUUGAAACACACGAGUGAGGCCCGCACGCAUUUGUGCUCUGAGAAAAUGCAACGUUCUGGUCCCUCUGCCCCAAGGGUGGGAACAAACAACCCCUCAAUGGUGGGGGGCGGGAGGGGGGCUUGUGGAGAAUCACGCUCGUGGACCACAUCUGUCCUCUGGCUUUGGGCUAGUUUCCUCCAAAUUACUGGCAAAUUCUGCAAUUCUGACCCCAGCUGUGGACACUGCUUUCUCCUGCGAGUCCCCAGGCCAACACUAAGGGUUGUCGAGUCCCUAAAUUGGCCCCAAGCCCUGCAUGUCCCCGAGCCCUGGGCAGUACUGCAGGUGGAGGGUCUGACUCGGGGGCUCGGCGAGCCCAGUCCCGUUUAUAGCCGGGCCUGGCUGUUCAAUGUGGGCCGCGGCCGGGCAGCCUUUGGCUCACUCGGGAGCUGGUUGGAAACAUCAGUUGCCAGCUGCACCACCAGAUCCACUGUUUCGGGACCUGCGUUCGAGCAGAUACCCAGAGAGGUUAGAGUUCAGGGCACUCUGGCUUGCAGGAGGGAAUUCUCACCCCAGUCACGCAACGUAGGGUGUCACCUUCAGGUGAGGAGGCCCAGGGAAGCUGAUUGGGUGACCCCCUCCCUAGCCGUGGCCAGGCCGGCCGGGGCUCAGGAGGGCCACCAGCUUGUCUGGACGCGGCCUCUACAGACACACAGUGGACUCACCAAACAUCUGGGCCUCAGCUUCCUCUCCUGAAAACUGGGGAGAGUUGUACCUAAGGGACGUCACCCCACAGGAGGGCCUCCCAUGCCUCACACGCUGUGACGAGCCCCGACUCUGCUGUGGGCCUGUGAUGCUCAGACACAGUCUUGCCUGGGGCCGCGGGAAGACAGGGUGGGAUGGCCAGGACAGAAGGCCGUGCAGAUGUGAGAGCCAGGCGUCCGUCUGAAUCCCGACUCCACCCUGAUGGCUGUGUGACCCUGGGCAAGCGACCUGUCCUCUCUGUGCUUUCAGUUUCCACUUCUAAGAAGGGGUGAAUAAGCAGGAUGAAGGAAGUUACUGUCUGCAGGGCGCUCACAACGGAGCCUGGCACCGAGCACGCGCCCUGGGUGUGUUUGUUAAACAGAUGUUAGAGAGAAGGGCCAGCUGAGUUCAGCUCAGAGGGCAGAAGGGGCAAGGUGGUGGGGGAGAGGCCCAGGGAGCAGCCCCCAGGCUGAGACCGCCUCGGAAAGGAGGGGCAGGGGGCGGGCCGGGCAGGGAGAAAGGAGAUGGGGACCCUCGAGGAUGGGGCUGGAGCAGGUGCUGGGGCAGGGGUGCGAUGUGAGGAGGCAGGGCCUGCUGGACCCAGCGCCCGCCCACAGGACCAGACACGAGGUCCUCACAGACCCAAAGGAUGCCCAAACCAAGUGAGAGGUUUCCUUUGUCUCUAGAAGGAGCCAAACGAAGGACAUUGGCGAGAAGUGAAAGGCGGCCUGGGUUCUGACCGCUGAGGGCCGCUCCCAGGCUCAGCUCACGGGGAGGAGCUCAGGCCCUGUGGACACCGAGGUUCCUCCCAGCCUGCCCUCCAUGUAGGGGGCGCCUCUCCUCACGGCACCCCCUGCUCAGGGCACCCCUCACGGCCGUCUCUUCCUUCACAAGCUGGGGCAAGGGGCUGACCCAUCCACGUGGAGGUGUCCCCAGGACGGGGGAUGUGGGGCCACAGGCUGGGGCUGCUAGCCAGUGAAACCACAGGCACGGGGGGCAUGCAGGAGCAAGUGUGGCCAAUGGUGCCAGAGCUGGGUGACCCUAAAUGACCCCUGGGAGCAAGAGGACGCGGGUGCCCGGGACAGGACCAGGUAGCAGCCUUCAUGGGAAUAGCAGCGGGAUCCUUGGGUGGCAGCCUCCACGUGCAGGGUCUCCUCUCCCAGGCCCCCAGCGGGGCUGUGUUUCCACUGCUCAGUUGGGAGGCCGGGAGGCAGGGACCCGUCACUUGUCCCAGGUCACCAGGCUUACAGACGGCAGAGUGUGCUCCCUCUGAAGCCAGCCCUGCCUAUCGGCUCCCCCUGCUCCAAAGUCCUGUGUCCCCCGCAGGGUCUCCACCCUGGAGACCGUCCCCCGGCCUCCUACCUGCUCAGGGGGAACAGCCUGCACCAGCUGUCACUCGGUCCCCUGAGCGCCACAUGCAAUCACCAGCACGUCCUGAAGGUGCCACCCCCAGCAGCUCCAGAACCUUCUCACCACCUCUGCUGCUCCGAGCCACAUCCACCGGCAGGUCCCCGUGGGAGCCUCCAAUCAUUUCUUUGCUUCUGCCGUUGCUCCCCUCAGCCUGGCCCCCGUCUUCAUCUCCCCACAGCACUUACCACUGUCUGGCGUCCUGUGUAUUUACUCAUUUACUGUUUCUUAGGUGUUAUAUGGAGAAUGAUCAGAGAACGGGGUGCACCAAUGGAGGGGAUGCCACCCAGGGGCUGGGGAGAGCUCCCUGGAGGAGGUGCGGCUUGGCUGAGUUGGCCUGGUGGUACACACUCAGAGACAGUGCAGUGCAGCGACUCUCACCCGCAGGCGCUCAGGAAGGACGCCACAUCUCCCCGCUGAUCAGACGCAGCGUCAGAGGAGCUUCUGCAGAGGGCCGGGCCCGGUGACGGCAGCGGUGCUCAGGAGCCAGCAGGCACCCGGUCCACUGGGGCCUUCCUCCAACGAGGAUUAACCGACACUGGUCAUAUGUGCCAGCUCUAGAGACCCACAGAGCUGUGGCCCAGCCCACACCUUUAAGAGAGGACGUGCACGAACAGAAGAAGGCCACUGGGUUGCAGAGGCGGGUGGGAGGCAGAGAGGGGGGCCUGGUCUGGGAACGGCCCCCAGAAGAGAAGCUGCUAGGCAGACAAUGACAGGAACGGUGUUGGAGGCAGAGGGAACAGCCUGUGCAAAGGCUCUGAGCAGAAGGCCCAGCUGCCCCUCUGUCCUCGGAGGGCCUGACGGGAUUGUGGGAGGACGGUGCUUGGCCCUUUACACAGCAAAUUCAAGCCAGGGGGGCCAGGGCUCUUUUAAGCUGACAUUUUCCGGCACAGCUGUUCGUGUUGUUCACAUAUCUGACAGCGGCCUGGCAAGCGUGCCCGCGAAACCCCGCUUCAUUGUUUUGGUUUUACUUUGUUUUUCUUUUUAAGGAAAAACAGCUGUAAGGCCAAGAGAGAAUGGAUGCUUUGGAGAAACUUCUGAUGCUACUUGCCCGGCUUAUACACUCAGGGCCAGGCCCCCAAACAGUCCACUGGGGCAGGGCAGGCCACAGCCAUCCCACGCACGGGCUGGGCUGAGCUGCCCGCCCAUCCAGGGUCAGCAGUGGGACCGAGGACGGCCCCGCCCCUUCAGGCUGCAGCCUCCGGCCAGCAGGAGCUUCCCCCUCCUCCGCUGUGACCAGACCAGACCCUGCAACGAGCCCUCGGGCCAGCUCUCUCUGCAGCUCCCAUGAGCCCUGUGGCCGGGCCAGGCUGGGCGCCUGCAGGACAUGGGGCCCGUCCUCUGUGCACCCCAAUCCCCAGAUGGUCUGUCCUCCUCGCUGUGACGCUGUAUGAUGGUGACAGCAGCAGCAGCGUGACAGUUCCCACUCACUGCACAUCGGACAGGAGCUGGCCCGUAUCCUCUCCAGUCCUCCCAGGCGCCCGCUGUGUAGACGACGUGGCCCCACUUUACAGACGAGGAGAAUGAGGUGCCACAGUUUGUGUCAGUUGCCGGAACCCAGAAGAGGCAGCCCGGGGAGGGCUCGGCAUGAAGAUGCCGCCCCCGCCUCCCUCACCGCCACCCCGCCCCCACCCCCCUCCCAGCGAGGACUUGAGGACGCGAGAAGGGGCUGCAGUGAGAGCCUCGGGGGUCCGACCUCAGGUGGGCGAGGGCGAGGUGAGUGGCCUGAGGCAGUGAGGUGUCUGGUGCCAGGCAGGCGAGGGGAGGGGGACCAGGGGGAGGUCCAUGGAGACCAACGUGAGUUGGGCCCUGAAUGCCAGUCUGAGGAGCUUCCACUUGGCCCCCAGAGCGACAAGGAGCACAGAGAGGCGGCGCCCUCUCACCCAGGGUUGAGGGAUGCUGGCUCAGAGAGGUGUGUCAGUGGGCGUGGAGAGGAGGGACUCCAGAGGGAGGGAGCACCCCAGGACCUUGACAUGGCCAGGUUCCAGGGGGCCGAGGGUGACCCCUGGGUGUCUGUUGGGGGAUCCCAAGGAUGCACCCUUCCCUGUAAAGGAUGAGGAGGGAUAAGCUACAGUUCUUUGGGUCUGACUACAGCCCCUGGGCGGGUGGGACAGGAACCAGGGCUCCUGGUGCCUGCCCAGCAUCCUCCGAGUCCAUGUGGCCCUUGCCUCUCAUCCUGGCCUUGGCGCCACAGGGAGGAGCAGGGAAUAAAACCUCCUUUCAGCCCGCCUCCCCUGAGCUGUCGCAGGCAGCCUGCCAGGAAACACGAGGCAAGUUAAAACCACAGGGGGUCUCUUUCCACCUAUUGAAUUAAAAUGUCCUGGAAGAGCGGUAAGCUGGCAGCAGCCGUGCCCACUGUUGGCUUUGUAACUGGGAUAUCGAGUUUGAAAAACAAACAAAUCAGCCAUUAAACAACAAAAAUGCACGCGGACCUCGACCCAGAAAUUCCUGUUCUGGGAGCAUCUCCUAAAGAAAUAAUCUCCAAUACAGGGGCCGGGCCACGCACGCUGUGCCGUUUGUCAUAGAAUGCAGACUUCAUGUCCAACUGAUGAGGAUUAUUUUGGGCUGGUUACUUUUAAAAACUGCAGACAGGAAGGAGGCUCUGAAAACUGGAAUUUACUUGCCCUUUGAUGAGAGACGUGUGCAUUUGUGAAGGAAGUCUCCAUCUGUGGGGGUGUCUCCCUCUGUGUACCAGCAGGAAGGCGGAAUGACCUUAUCUCUAGAAACUCUUAAUGGGGACGGCAAGGAUUAAGUCUGCAUAGUGAUCUUGCCCUUGUUUAUUGUGCUUGUCUGGUAACCUCAUGUAGCUGACUCCCCCCACCACCAACAUCCUCCGGGAGGCAUAAGACAUCCCGACUUAAUCCGGUCUGAUUCUUAUCUAGAGUUGUAGGACCACCCAAUAGCCAGACCCCACCUGUGCUGAGACCAUUUUAACAACUUUUUUUUUUACAUAUUCUUUCCUUUGUCUUGUAAACAGAUAACUCACAUACCUAUGCCUUAAAUUUAGCCCUACCCUCAACCCAUGUCUGCAGCUCUUCCUGCCCAUGGGUCCUGUCCCC
ensembl:lncRNA